rnacentral:rRNA from 1 species
AGCGAACGCUGGCGGCAGGCCUAACACAUGCAAGUCGAACGAAGUCUUCGGACUUAGUGGCGGACGGGUGAGUAACACGUGGGAACGUACCUUUUGGUUCGGAACAACUCAGGGAAACUUGAGCUAAUACCGGAUGAGCCCUUAGGGGGAAAGAUUUAUCGCCGAAAGAGCGGCCCGCGUUAGAUUAGCUAGUUGGUGAGGUAAAGGCUCACCAAGGCUACGAUCUAUAGCUGGUCUGAGAGGAUGAUCAGCCACACUGGGACUGAGACACGGCCCAGACUCCUACGGGAGGCAGCAGUGGAGAAUCUUGCGCAAUGGGCGAAAGCCUGACGCAGCCAUGCCGCGUGAAUGAUGAAGGUCUUAGGAUUGUAAAAUUCUUUUACCAGGGACGAUAAUGAUGGUACCUGGAGAAAAAGCCCCGGCUAACUUCGUGCCAGCCGCCGCAGUAACAC